GAACUUUGAAGGAGCCAGUGUGCAAACCUCAGGACAUGUCACAAAUCGCCAAACUAGUAACAGUUCUGCGUGUAAUACAGCCUUUGUCAUUGACCCUGGCCAAAUGGAGGCUUCUGACCGGGACAAGCCAACUAGCACCGCCAAGGCCGACAAUCCAAACGCUGAGAAUAAGGAAGGUGAUGUGGGCAAUGUGAGCGAUGCAGACAGCGUCCAUUCAAACGCAAGUGGAUAUUGUGCCACCAGGCGCUCUCCAAAAUCCAACCAGUUCACAAGCCAUGAAAUGCUGGUAUUAGGUUUGAAGGUGAAGGCCAAACAACAUAGACGAGGCUCAAGAGGAAGGUUUUACAGAGCCAGAAGGAAGCACAG